CCCGCUACGCUUUCAUUUGAGUGACGACGACAGAAGCUUCAACUUCGACAAAGAGACAACUCUUGCGUUUUCAAAAACAUUUGGCUACAAACCAAUAAUUUGUAAGAGCACUUUUUAGUUCUUUUCAUAAACUAUCAUCCCGUGAUUUUUGAAGGCGACUCUCUUGACAUAUCUCCUUUAUACCGACGUUACCAGAACAAAGGUUUCAAGCUACGGUCGAACUGCCCUUGGAACAAUAUAAAAUAAUGACCAAGGGAGAAGACUCACACUCUGAAAUGGCCCAUGCUCGUCAGAGUGAUGGCAUCAAUGUGAUCUUUGACCAAAACAGCCCUGCCUCAUCUCGCUCCCAGUCCCAAAGCAGCAGUGGCAGCAGACAAUCCUCUGGCUCUGCCUGCUACAGGGGGCGAGGUAGUCACAGGGGGCGUUCUUCAUCUUCUUCGUCAUCUACAUCCAGAAGUAGGUCCUCCUCUCGCCCCAGGUCUCGCUCUCACCCUCGGUGCCACAGACGUUCCUCUCGCUGUGGCUGUGACAACCAUCGUAGAUAUGGCCAUGGCCGCCACCGCCGCUCCCCACCACGCCGUUACAGAGCCCACUCUCGCUCCUACAGCCGCUCGCCCGUGCAAGACAGAUCCCCAGGUCGCACACGCUACAGGUCCCGCUCCAGGUCUCCCAGCCGUUUGAGCAGGCACAGGAGGACCGUGAGCCAAUUUAGAAGCAGGUUUUCCAAAUCCCCAGCCAGAGGAUACAGGAGCCGCUCGAGGUCCACAUCUUCAGGACAUUUGAGUUUGGAUGAUAAAAGAGAACCCCUUGAAGCUGCAAAGGCCAAUGCUUUGAAUAUCCUAGGUGUGGAGAAGCUGGAACUUCCUGAGAGUGUGAAACCAAUCCCGUCAGAGAAGUCAACGGAAUCCAGAUGGGUGUCACCAGAACCAGAGACAAGGGUGAGACAAGACCUCGAAAAGACUCUGUUACAGAUUCCAAUUGAAGGCCUAGAAGUAUUUUUCCCAUCUUGGACUAGAUGUAAAUACAAGAUAACAUGACAGUGGUCUCCUUCACUCAUCGGCACCUGGGAUUAAAAGGCUGUCAUGUGACUUGGGUGACGACAAUAUGUGUUUGCGUGAAAGGUUAAUUAAUAAGUCUUGUAAUGUUUGCAAUUAAACCAACACAUAUGUAGAUUUAGCAUUUAGACAUAAUGCACACAGUCCAUUCAAAUGCUAAUCACACACAUAGAUAACUGGAUCAUUGACAACCAAUUCAGAUAUUGUAUUACAAUGACUACACUUCAUAUAACAAGGCAAUAGAAUUUUGACAUUACAAAUGUAUUCAUGCUUGCAGUUGAAAUGGGUCAUUGUUAUUUAGCAGAAUCCUCCACUUGCUGAUGGAGCGCAGGCGUGUGGACUGCGUUAUAGUGACUAUUCCUGUCAAGAGAACUAAAAACAGACGAAGAACUCCUCUCCGUAUGCCAAAGAUAAGUUGGUACACGAGGCGUGUGCUGAGGGUCUGGGAAACCUGCAUCUCCAUCAUUCUGCCACUCUAGACAGAGAAGACAUCCUUUUUACUAUUUUGUUUGCAUUUUUUUGUUUUUACUGUUUCAAGGUCUGUACUUGAAGCACUCAUUUAAUGGUUGAGCCUAGUCUUUGUGUGGGGGGUGGGAAGUGUGCAUGAGAGCUGCAGUUUGUUGAAGCUAAUUCUGAAAUGUAUCUAUGCAAUAGAAGUGCUUUACAAUAUUAGUAAUAAAUCCUAUAAUCCAUCUAUCUGAACUUCACAAACUGUAAAAGCUCACUCUACUAUUAGUUCUACACCCAGUUCUAACUAGGUCUGUCUUUCUUGUCUUUUUUGAAACAGAGCAACGAGACAGAGCCUGAUGACGUGUCCAACCUAAAGAUGUCCCCGAAAAGGAAAAUAAUCUCUUUCAGCAUUAAUAAUUCUGUGGCCAAACCAACAACAGUAGCACCAUCCUGUGCUAAGGUAACUCCCAGAGUGGACAGCUAUGA